UACGUAGGUCGCAAGCGUUGUCCGGAUUUACUGGGCGUAAAGAGCGCGCAGGCGGCUGGUCAAGUCCGAUGUGAAAUCCCCAGGCUCCACCUGGGAACUGCAUCCGAUACUGGAUGGCUUGAAUCCGGGAGAGGGAUGCAGAAUUCCAGGUGUAGCGGUGAAAUGCGUAGAUAUCUGGAGGAAUACCGGUGGCGAAGGCGGCAUCCUGGACCGGCAUUGACGCUGAGGAGCGAAAGCUAGGGGAGCAAACGGG
rnacentral:rRNA from 1 species